AAAUGAAUUGACGGGGGCCCGCACAAGCAGUGGAGUAUGUGGUUUAAUUCGAAGCAACGCGAAGAACCUUACCGGGGCUUGACAUGGGGACGACAGGUGUAGAGAUACACCCUUCUUCGGACGUCCCACACAGGUGGUGCAUGGUUGUCGUCAGCUCGUGUCGUGAGAUGUUGGGUUAAGUCCCGCAACGAGCGCAACCCUUAUCAUUAGUUGCUACAUUUAGUUGAGCACUCUAAUGAGACUGCCGUUGGCAAAACGGAGGAAGGUGGGGAUGACGUCAAAUCAUCAUGCCCUUUAUGUCCCGGGCUACACACGUACUACAAUGGCAUUUAACAAUGAGUCGCGAACCCGCGAGGGGAAGCUAAUCUCCAAAAAGUGCCUCAGUUCAGAUUGCAGGCUGCAACUCGCCUGCAUGAAGUCGGAAUUGCUAGUAAUCGUGAAUCAGAAUGUCACGGUGAAUACGUUCCCGGGCCUUGCACACACCGCCCGU
rnacentral:rRNA from 1 species